GCGGGAAACUUGAUAAUGUGGCGAGAAGCCUGAUCGCAACGCCGCGUGCAGCUGAUGAGGCCUUCGGGUUGUAAAGUGCUUUUAGAGGGAUGAAAAAGGACAGUUCCUCUGAAUAAGCCUCGGCGAAUACUGCCAGCAGCCGCGGUAAAACGUAGGGGCAAGCGUUAUCCGGAUUUAUUGGGCGUAAAGCGCGUGCAGGCGGUCUAGCAAGUUGGAUGUGAAAGCUCCCGGCUCAACUGGGAGAGGUCGUUCAAUACUGUUAGACUAGAGAAUAGGAGAGGGAGGUGGAAUUCCGGGUGUAGUGGUGAAAUGCGUAAUAUCCGGAGGAACACCAGUGGCGAAAGCGGCCUCCUGGACUAUUUCUGACGCUAAGACGCGAAAGCUAGGGUAGCAAACGGGAUUAGAGACCCCGGUAGUCCUAGCUGUAAACGAUGUAUACUUGGUGUUGGCGGAAUUAAAUCUGCCAGUCCGUAGCUAACCGAUAAGUCUACCGCCUGGGGACUACGAUCGCAAGAUUAAAACUCAAAUAUUUUGGG
rnacentral:rRNA from 1 species